rnacentral:rRNA from 1 species
UACGAAGGGGGGCUAGCGUUGCUCGGAAUGACUGGGCGUAAAGGGCGCGUAGGCGGCGGCCACAGUCAGAUGUGAAAUUCCUGGGCUUAACCUGGGGGCUGCAUUUGAUACGUGGUUGCUUGAGUGGGGAAGAGGUCGUGGAAUUCCCAGUGUAGAGGUGAAAUUCGUAGAUAUUGGGAAGAACACCGGGUGGCGUAGGCGGCGACCUGGUCCUUUACUGAGCUGAGGCGCGAAAGCGUGGGGAGCAAACGG